rnacentral:rRNA from 1 species
GAGAUGUAAUAAAAAAAAUUUUUUUUAAUUUUAUAUUACAUCAAUAAAAAUAGAUGAGUUUGGUGAUGGCUCUGAUUGAACACUGUUCAAAUACUUGACACAUGCUAAUCGAACGUUUAAUUUUUGGCCUAAGAAAGGGGUUUCAUCGUGGCUUAAGCUAAGGGGUUUAUUGUGGCUUAAGCUAAGGUUUAAUCUUUGACUUAAGCGGGUGUUUUAGGGGAACUUGUGCCCCUAAAACCUCUUAAUUAAAAGUGGUGUACAGGUGAGUAUAAUAUUUUUUCGCUUAACUUAAAGUGAAGGCAAAUCCUUCAUAUUGCAAAAGGAUAUCUUAGGCACCUGUUGAAAGGGGCCUACUUAUAUUAUAUCCGCUUUAAGAGGAUGAGAAAAGUUUCAGAGAUAGGUAGUUGUUAAGGUCAUGGCUUAACAAGCCAAUAAUUCUCUUAGUCGAAGCUGAAAAGGCUGAUCGACCACAUUGGGAAUGAAAAAAUCCCAAGGCAAAUAGGUACAGCAGUGAGGAAUCUUGGUCAAUGGGCCCACGCCUGAACUGGUAACUUGGAGGAAUGAGGGGUCAACUUUGCAAAUGGAUGAGUGAUCGUUAGAAGAUCCUUAGUCCCCUGGUCUUCUUGACACAUGAGGUAUAUACUUCUAGUCCAUAUUGGGGGGAGACUCCACGUCGAUUUAUCGAGUAAAAUUCUGUAUACAUAUUGAUAAUGACAAUAUGUACAUUUGUCUUGACUAAUUACGUGCCAGCAGUCGCGGCAAUACGUAAGAGACUAGUGUUAAUCAUCAUAAAUAGGUUUAAAGGGUACUCAGACGGAAAAAUUCGCCAAAUAUAGGGGACAAUUUUUCUAGAGUUUUAUGUAAGAAGGUCGUACUCUAGA